rnacentral:lncRNA from 1 species
CCAGCACAAUUUUACCACUAAAUAUAGUUCUGCUAUGUUAAUUUAGACACAGUCACAAAUGCGCUGCUGCAUAAUAUGUAAAGAGCAUCUUCAGUUAGCAUAUGCCAUUUGCUGGUGCUAUUCUGCUUUUGAUAAUACCAACACAUCCACAAUCAUUGUUGGGUAAAAUGUGGCCCUCCAGAUAUUGCUGGACUGCAGCUUCCAUCAACCCCAGCCACAUAGCUGAAGAAUGCUAGGAGGUGCAAUGAAGCAAUGUUUAGAAAAUGGCCCUUUUUCUAAAUGGCAGAUCAGAAGCACUGAAUUCUAAUAUUGUUCCUUCAGCUGCAGUUGGUGUGUGACUCACUAGCUAGUAUUUCCCAAUGAUGGAUUCAACCUUUUCCAAGUUGCAUCAGUGAAUAACAUCCUGUCGUUAACCAGAUGUGGCAUGUGUGGCAUUGCUUUCCUCAGCACAGAUGUUUUGGUAUGGGCAAAUGAAUUGAACCAUCUGUUUUAUUCCAUUAGUCAAGUCAUUUUAGACAUAUUUUGACCAGAAAUCUCAAAUGGUGUGUGUGUAAUUGUGUGCUUUGCAUACAUUGUUGUUAUUUUAAUUGUAAUAUACAGAUACUGGCUUUUUUCGUGUCAGGAGCGACUUGAGAAUCUGCAAGUUGCUUCUGGUGUGAGAGAAUUGUCUGUCCAAGGGGACGCCUGGAUGUUUUGAUGUUUUUACCAUUCAUGUGGGAGGCUUCUCUUAUGUCCCUGCAUGGAGCUGGAGUUGGUAGAGGGAGCUCAUCCGUGCUCUCCCUGGGUUGGAUUUGAACCAGCAACCUUAAGUAAACUGAGGCUGUUGUAUUUUGGAUGUACCAUGAGACUACAUGACACACUGGAAAACUUGGUAACACUGGUAAAGUGGAAGGCAGAAGGAAAAGGAAAGAUUGCACUAUGUGGAUGGAUUCAAUCAAAGAAGAAUUAUGUCUCAGUUUGCAAGGCUGAGGAGGGCAUUUGGAGAACAUGGAACACUUCCAUUCAUAAGGUUGCCGUAAGUCUAAAUUGAUUUGAUAUCAAAUAAGAGUGAAAAAAACAAUAUUGAUACGCCUAUUUUAUCAUGAAUUUAAAGUUAAUUGCUCAUUCUAUUUUUAAAUUGCUUGAAUUGCGAUUAUUAUUAUUAACUUUAUUUACUCCACCUUUCUCCCCAUGGGAACGCAAGGCGGAUAAACAAUCCCAUACUACACAAGUUUUUAAAAUGCAAUACAAAAGUUAAAAAACAAUUAAAUGCACUUACAAUGUCCUUUAGAGCUCAUCCCCCCAAUUCCAUCCAACCUUCCCAAAGCCUGCCCCUUAUACUUCCAUAAAUGCCUGUUGGCAAAAGAAAGUCUUGACCUGCUUGCAGAAGGCCAGCAGGGAUGAGGCUAUCCUGGUCUCUCUUGGGAGGGAGUUCCACAGUCUGGGAGCAGUCAUUGAAAAGGCCCCCUCCUAUGUUUCCACUAGUAGAUUGUAGAUGUCUCCCAAGUUCAUAAAAAGAGAUACAGUAGAGUCUCACUUAUCCAAGCUAAACGGGCCGGCAGAAGCUUGGAUAAGCGAAUAACUUGGAUAAUAAGAAGGGAUUAAGGAAAAGCCUAUUCAACAUCAAAUUAGGUUAUGAUUUUACAAAUUAAGCACCAAAACAUCCUGUUAUACAACAAAUUGGACAGAAAAGGUAGUUCAAUAUGCAGUAAUGUUAUGAUGUAAUUACUGUAUUUACGAAUUUAGCACCAAAAUAUCAUGAUAUAUUGAAAACAUUGACUACAAAAAUGGCUUGGAUUACCAGAGGCUUGGAUAAGCGAGGCUUGGAUUAGUGAGACUCUACUGUAACUUGGACUGAAGCCAUAUAGGGCUUUGUAGGUCAAAACCAGCACUUUGAAUUUUGCUCAGAAACAUGUUGGCAACCAGUGGAGCUGUUGCAACAGAGGAGUUGUAAACUCCCUGUAGCCAGCCCCAGUUAUCAGUCCAGCUGCUGCUCUUUGGACCAACUGAAGUUUCUGAGCACUUUUCUAAAGCAGCCCCAUGUAGAGCGCAUUUCAGUACUCUAACUAGGAUGCAACCAAGGCAUGUACCACUGUGA